AGAUGUUAUUGGCAUAGUUCUUCAUUUGGAACCAUUAAAGCAUAUCGGUGGAAGACCGUAUAGAGAAGCUGUACUAAUGGAUUCUAGGUGGGAUCUAAUCAUCGUGGGGGUAUGGACUGACCUCUUGCAAAGAAAUGCUCUACGAUGGUCGUUAGCUAGAGUUGACAAGAACAUAAUUAUUGGAACUUUGCUGCGUUGUAACCAUAAUCACAGGUGCUUGGAAACCUCGGACCACAGCACUAUUCAUUUCAACCCGGAUCAUCACACUAUAUACCGCUUGAAGACAAUUCGUCGUUCGUUGAUUGACAAUCCAAGGAGUCGUUUCAUCGACAAAUUUCUAGAGAACAGACGAGCACAUUUGGCGACUGUAACAUCGGAUUGAGACAUGUGUUCUAGCUUGUUAUAGUAGAAUACUUUGUUAGUCAUGUAUCAGAUGAAACUUAUUAAUAAUGAUUUGUGUUCUGUUUUUA